rnacentral:lncRNA from 1 species
GGGACCGGGCAAAGCCCGCGGGGACCCAGUCCAGCCUCGGGGAAAGUGCUCCGGGCUGGAGAACAGAGGAAAGCCCCGCAGGAACCGAACCCACCCUGAGACCAUCCCGGGCUGGAGAACCGGGCAAUGCCCACGGGGACUGAACCCAGGCUCAGGGAAAGUGUUCCGGGCUGGAGAACCGGGCAGUGCCCCUGGGGACCAAAGCCAGCCCCAGUGAGACCACCCCGGGCUGGAGGGCUGGGCAGUGCCUGCAGGAACCAAACCCACCCUGAGACCAUCCUGGGCUGGAGAACAGGCAAAGCCUGCAGGAACUGAACCCAGGCUCGGGGAAAGUGUUCCAGGCUGGAGGGCUGGGCAAUGCCUGCAGGAACUGAAUCCAGCCUGAGACCAUCCCAGGCCAGAGAAUUGGGCAAUGCCCGCAGGUACCGAGCCCACCCUCUGGGAGCAGGAAAACUUUCCAGCAGAGGCAGAGGUAAUUUUACCUGGGCACAUCCCAAGUCAGGACCUGUUGGCCAGCGACAGGAUGCCAAAACAGGCUCUGGCGCUGCAGGAAGAGAACACAAAGUCCCAGCAAAGUUCCAGACCUGCCCUGUUGCACCUCCCUGGAAGCUCCAGCUGAAGAUUGACAGCACUGCUUCAUCCAGGCCCCCAAAAGGAGCAACACUGGCCAUGGCAGAGUGACUCAGUCCUGAUGGAUGAAUGGAACGUCCAAGCAUUUGCAGGUCCCGUGCUUGGGGAUUAGGGUUAUGUUUAGGGUUAGGGUUAAGUGACCCUAAAACCCCAUUUGUGACCCCAAACCAGCUCCAUAAUUGACCCCCAAACCCCAGUAGUGACCCAGAAGUGAUCAAUAAGCAACCCUAAAACCCCAUAAGUGCCCCCAGAACUGCCCCAUAAGUGACCCCCAAACCCCAUAAGUGACCCCAAUUCACCUUUCACUAUCAGGUCCCUCCCCCUCGAUGGUCAGGGCCACCAUGGGGCUCAGGCUCCGGCCACACAUUGUCCCCAAAUUUAUCAUUCCCUGUUCAUGCAGCUGCAAUAAGAUUUCUAAAGUUCACAGGGCUGGGACACAACUGCACACCCUGAGCUGGCUGAAGGGAUUUAAUGUAUGUUUGUUUGGGUUUUUAAUGUCCAUACUCUCAUCUUAUUACUCACAGCCACGCUUGGGUACAUUUUAAUUAGUUUGUUACUUUUUAUCUCGAAAUACCUGACUGAAAGAAUAAAAAUGUCUCAAAACAUACCGAAGCUUUUCAAAGUCCCCAAUGAUUAAACUCCAUGCUGCUCCAGAAUUUUAUCAGAAUUUUAUGCUCAGGAAUUCUAUUGUGGUUAUAUUUCUUUAGAUUCAUAGUUGCUUUCUGAUCUGAUUAAUUCCCUUUCUUUCUUUCUGAACACUCAGGGAAUUGUUGCAUGUCCAGAUGCUCUGGAUUCCUCCUGACAUCCAGUGCUUUAUUUUGGUCCCUGCCAUCUAUUAGAGCAGAAGAGCUGAGAAA